GCCUGGCUGGCUCAGUUGAUAGAGCAUGUGACUCUUGAUCUCAGGGUUGUGAGUUCAAGCCCCACAUUGGGCA
rnacentral:tRNA from 1 species